CAACACAAGCGAUUUUUUACCCGUUGUUGUGGUUGUUGCUUGGUCUUAUAUAAAAAAUGGUUUGCGAUUUAAUAAUAUGAGGUUGUUUAAGUUCUUUCUAAUUAAGAUUGAGUGGCAUUUGUAAAAUGUCAAAGUAGUUUUCAAGAUAAUUGUUUUGUUUUCGAAAUAUUAUAUGUGUUGUGGUCGGUCGGUCGGCCGGUCGAUUGGUUGGUCGUGUAUGAUUUCCAGGUCAGUAUGGAUCUCAGCGAAUGACCAGCGAAUGAAAAUUCAACAGUCAACAUCAUCUUGAGAAUCAUCAACUCAAUAUUAUCAUCAGCGGCAACGGCUUCAAUGCUACUUAUUGAACGGAAUCAGUCAACGGAGUGACAGCUGUGUGCUUUUUUAUUAUUUUGAAACACAUUCCACUUCGUUGGAACAGAUGCUUAAGAAGCUGAUGUUUAUCUUGAAAAUGGACCAAUUUCAAGGUUAACAAAUAUAUAUGACAAUGAAAAAAUGAGGGCAUAUAGAAUUCGACUAAAUAUCACACUGACGUUUGAUCCGUCAGCCAGUUUGACUGAUGAUUAUACAUACCACUUCUGACGAUGCAAUGUUCUCGCCACAGUCUUGUAAAAUAUUACCCUGUUGUUUUUGUUUACAUGAAAUUCAGGCCGACAUACAUACAAAUAUUUACACGAGCAUAUGUGCAUGCAUACAUAUAUACAUUGUUUUUAUUUAGUUACAGUUCAAGGUUAAAACCGUUCGUUGUAAAUUUUAUUAAUUUGUUUAUAAUUAUAUAUCGGCCUUAAGAGAAAAGGUGGGCGAAAGAAUUUAUUUUAAGUCUUGUGGGAUUGAAAAUAUUUUCAAAUGUAGUGUGCCUUCUGCAGAAGAGCAAUUUCUUUUAUAUAUUUGAUGAAUUUUUAUAAGUAUGGAUACAUAGGUUUACAAUUAUUUAAGCUGUUAUGCGAAACAAUUUUAUUUAAGAAAUAAAAACCCAUUCAUUUACGCUUUCAUUUUGAGCCAUUUUUCGUGUAUCUAUUGACAUUAUUUUUUUAACAAACUACAUUAUUGAUAACCUAAUAUUUAAUACCUGUCCAUUGAUUUUUGUUUUCAAUUGAUAUCCUACUACUUUAGAGACAAUUCUAUAUGUACACCCAAUAGAUAUUCAGAUCGGUACGAGGCGGCCAUAAGGCUCAGAGCGACGGACGAGUGAAUAAGAAAAGACCACGUUACACACCAUCAAACAUUUUAACAGGUGACAUCGGAAGAAUCAAUGGAAAACUUUGUAUCGGACCGGAUACCUUAAACAAUUGUAGCUGCCUCAUGUUAAACAUUAAUUCCUACAAGAAACUAGUGGAUCAACGGAUUCCCAUCGCAAAUGCCGACAGGAAACUGUUGUUAUACAGACGACUCAUUGCUAGAGGGAGAGCGGGACUGAUACUUUUUAUUGAAGAGCCAAACACCGUAAUAUCUUUCCGCUUGACCGAUCAUAAUACGAUCAUUCACACGGAGGUCCGGGCGAUUGCAGAGUGUCUGAACUGGCUUAGUGCUAAUAAGAGACCGGCUACCGUAAACGUAAGAUCGCUAUAAAAGCUAUAACAUCCAAAACAGAAAACACGCACACAAAUAUGGCGUUCUCGUUUACUACCUUUUAUACCCUACACUUUAUUGUGGCCUGAAUAAGGAAAUAUACCCAUAGUUCCUACAUUUGAUCUUCAUAGAAUCACAUUCUAUGUAGAUUUAUGCAUAUCCCAUGGUACAAAUACUUCAAAUGUGAUAGAAAUUGGAUCAGACACAACUUUAGUUCUGUGGUGGGCGCCUUUAAAAGGGGUAACCCUGAAAAUAAUUGAUAGCUAGAAGAAGAAGAAGAACAAUUACUAAAAAACAGCUGAUUAUUCCAAUUACUUAAAUGUCAAUAUUAGGGAAUAAUGUAAAAAGAAAAUGGAAAAAUUAAGCGAGGAAAAUGGCAGCCAGAAUUUCCUGGCAAAAAUUGUAAGAAAAAUCUGCCCUUUUUGAUUUACCUGCGAAGAAGAUUGGAUGUGUGGCUCCCUGUAACCAGCGAAGAAAAAAAGCCGACAAAGUUUUUGGUGAUGAACCACUUGCUGAGAAGUGAAUUCAAUGUUUUUAUUUAUUUGAAACACAUAUACAAACAACACGAAAUACAAACUUUUUU